GAAAUUGUCAUCAUCCACCUGCUAUUUUCUUGUCUCCUAACUCAAGUCUGCUUCACAGGACUACUACGUCAAUUAUCAGUUUUAGGCGAGCCACUACUACUGUGACGAGCACACCAGAGAACCCACACAACAUGGACAAGACUCAGAACCAAGAUGAGAAAACUGGGGACGUGAUGUCUCAUUCAUUUGGAGAAGGGUAUUCAACGAGGUCUGAUGAAGAAGGAUUCGGUGGGAUUUAUGGAGGAAACCAGUCGGUUAAUAAUGUUGAAAUGGACAAGAAAAUCCAUGAGAAUCACCCUGCUUAUGACAAGACUCAGGGAAGCGAAGUGAAGGAGAAGGAGAAAGCGCGACACCAGACCAAUGGGCAGUCUUAAUUAACUACUUUCGCAUGGAGUGGG
rnacentral:misc_RNA from 1 species